rnacentral:rRNA from 1 species
AACGGGGGGGGCAGGUGUUACUCGACAUGACUGGGCGUAAAGGGCAACUAGGCGGCUCCGCCGGUGGGGGGUCAAAGACCGGCCGGGCCGGUAGGGCCCCUCCGACGGCCGAGCUUGAGUCCGGUAGGGGAUGGCGGUACCUCCGGUGUAGAGGUAAAAUUCGGUGAUACCGGAGGGACCAACGGCCGGCGAAGGCAGCCAUCUGGUCCGUGACUGACGCUCAAAGGCAAAAGCGUGGGGAGCAAACAGG